rnacentral:rRNA from 1 species
AGAGUUUGAUCCUGGCUCAGAUUGAACGCUGGCGGUAAGCCUUAAACAUGCAAGUCGAGCGGUAACAGACAUAAAGAUUUAGCUUGCUAAAUCCGGUGCUGACGAGCGGCGAACGGGUGAGUAACACGUAGGAAUCUACCCAGUAGCGGGGGAUAGCCCAGGGAAACUUGGAUUAAUACCGCAUACACCCUAAGGGGAAAAGAAGGCCUCUCUUUGAAGCUUUCACUAUUGGAUGAGCCUGCGUAAGAUUAGCUUGUUGGUGGGGUAAAGGCCUACCAAGGCAACGAUCUUUAGCUGGUCUGAGAGGACGAUCAGCCACAUUGGGACUGAGACACGGCCCAGACUUCUACGGAAGGCAGCAGUUAGGAAUAUUGGACAAUGGGGGCAACCCUGAUCCAGCUAUACCGCGUGUGUGAAGAAGGCCCUAGGGUUGUAAAGCACUUUAAGCAGGGAAGAAGCAUAUUAAGUUAAUAUCUUAAUAUGUUGACGUUACCUGAAGAAUAAGGACCGGCUAACUCCGUGCCAGCAGCCGCGGUAAUACGGAGGGUCCAAGCGUUAAUCGGAAUUACUGGGCGUAAAGCGCGCGUAGGCGGUUUAAUAAGUUGUAUGUGAAAGCCCUGGGCUCAACCUAGGAACUGCAUGCAAAACUAUUAAGCUUGAGGACGAGAGAGGAGAGUAGAAUUUCAGGUGUAGCGGUGAAAUGCGUAGAUAUCUGAAGGAAUACCAAUGGCGAAGGCAGCUCUCUGGCUCGUUUCUGACGCUAAGGUGCGAAAGCGUGGGUAGCAAACAGGAUUAGAUACCCUGGUAGUCCACGCCGUAAACGAUGAUAACUAGCCGUUGGGCAGAUUUAACUGUUCAGUGGCACAGCUAACGCAUUAAGUUAUCCGCCUGGGGAGUACGGCCGCAAGGCUAAAACUCAAAUGAAUUGACGGGGGCCCGCACAAGCGGUGGAGCAUGUGGUUUAAUUCGACGCAACGCGAAGAACCUUACCUGGUCUUGACAUCCUACGAACUUACUAGAAAUAGUUUGGUGCCUUCGGGAACGUAGUGACAGGUGCUGCAUGGCUGUCGUCAGCUCGUGUCGUGAGAUGUUGGGUUAAGUCCCGUAACGAGCGCAACCCUUGUCCUUAUUUGCCAUCAUUAAGUUGGGCACUCUAGGGAGACUGCCGGUGACAAACCGGAGGAAGGUGGGGACGACGUCAAGUCAUCAUGGCCCUUACGACCAGGGCUACACACGUGCUACAAUGGAGCGUACAAAGGGUCGCGACCUCGCGAGAGUGAGCUAAUCCCAUAAAACGUUUCGUAGUCCGGAUCGCAGUCUGCAACUCGACUGCGUGAAGUCGGAAUCGCUAGUAAUCGUGAAUCAGAAUGUCACGGUGAAUACGUUCCCGGGCCUUGUACACACCGCCCGUCACACCAUGGGAGUGGGUUGCAAAAGAAGUGGGUAGCAUAACCUUCGGGAGUGCGCUCACCACUUUGUGAUUCAUGACUGGGGUGAAGUCGUAACAAGGUAACC